rnacentral:lncRNA from 1 species
AAGAAAUACACCCUAAAAGCACUUUUACAAAAAAUCAAACAAAAUUAAACAAAACAGAAUAAAAACCAAUAAUUACAAACAAGUCAAAUGUCAAUCAAUUCACACUACUAAAAAAAUAACUUCGAUCCCCAGCAACGGCGCCAAAAACUUAUUGACUCACUGGCAAGUGUACCAGAUCGUUUAAGUAAUAUAAUUGGUAAAUCCCGAUAUCGUUCUUCCCAAGAGACUCGAAAGGCCUUAUCGUUCGUGUGAAUCGAAAUCGUAAGACUUGUAGAGAAAAAAAUUAAUUGUGUGGAAUGCAAGGACAGAAAAUAAACAUGCAAUGUGUUUGAUUCAAUUGACAAAAAAGACUAUGGAUGAAUGAAGUUGUUGGGGGUUGACAAUUUCGCCUUAUCCGCUCCCUUUUAUCUACUCCUCUUGUUUAAUGUGCUUGAUUAUCUAAUUGUUAUGCGAACUUUCUUGGCCUACCCUUAACCCGAUCCCUCGGCGAAAAGAGCCUAUUACUAAUUACCGGCUUGUUAUCCCUAGCCUCCCCUAGCAAUUAGCUCUUAUCUACUCCUCUUGUUUAAUGUGCUUGAUUAUCUAAUUGUUAUGCGAACUUUCUUGGCCUACCCUUAACCCGAUCCCUCGGCGAAAAGAGCCUAUUACUAAUUACCGGCUUGUUAUCCCUAGCCUCCCCUAACAAUUAGCAAUGCAUUACCGAACAGAAGCAAAAACAAUUGAUCGUCCUACCUCCCUAUCCCUAGUUUGUAUUUCAUUAAUCAAGGAAUUUCUCACCAGUUCAUGACAGUACUAUACGUUCCCGUAUCAAUAGAGACAAACAACAGUUAUCGAAUGAGUUAAACGAUAAAAGCUUUAAGCGCAGAUGAGAACCCAACAAUUGAUAAUCAAAGCAUAUGAAGAAUCAUAUAAAUAAACAAGAGUUUCAAUAAAAGAGAGUUUCAAAAGAUUACAUUGUUUCCCCUAACAACAAAAGGGUUUAGUUCACCAUUGUCAUGGUGAACCUANAUGAAAAUAAUGGAAGAAUGGAAGAGCAAACCCUAGAUAGGAUGAAAAGGAGCUUAAGCAUCCAAGAAAUCUUCUCCAAGGAGUGAAAAUUAGGUAUGGCCGCCCUCUUUCUUUCAAAAGAAUGAGAAUGAAAUCAUAACAGG